GUCGGCUUUGUUUUCAUGAAAUUGUAUUUCUGUUUGGUUCCUUUUUUUUCUGUGUUAUAGUUUGUGUUGUUUGGGGUUUGGCCGUAUUCCUAGCCAUGCCGGGUGGUGGCGGUGGCCGUGGACGGGGUGCAGUGACCAGGUCCUGGAGGACAAGUACCGGGAGGGGCAGUAGCCCAGUUACAAGGGUGCAAGGAACUCCUGGUGCAUCCAGUAGUGCUGGGGGUGGGCAUGGAUCACCGUCUCCUGGGGUGGUUGUUUCGGACUCUUCCCCCUGUGUCACCUGUUGUUUCCCGGUCAAGGAUGAUGAAGAGGGUGGCAUUGCUUGCGACGAGUGUGGUCAGUGGUGUCAUGGGUCGCAGGUGUGUACUGGACUUCCCUCUGAUUUUGUUAAGCAGGUACUGCAGCACCAGGGUAAGGGAGUAAAGUUUGUUUGCACCAGAUGCAGACUGCUUCCUCCUGCGGCUUCAGGUAGUGGGAAGGAGAAUCAGGGUGAGCUCGGGUCACUUAGGGAGUGCAUGACCCAGAUGUUUAACACUAUUGCUGGUCUCAGCAACUCAGUGAGAUCUAUUGAUCUAAGAUUCAAUAAUAUGGUAAAUGAUGGUGUCUUUUCAAGAGAUAGUGGCAGGGUUGUGGGCCCUGAUAUUCGGACCAUUAUUAAAGAAGAAGUUCGUGAGUUGAGCGAGAGGGAAAAGAGGAAGGACAGUAUCAUCAUCAAAGGGCUUGCAUUUGGGUAAAAUUUUCAGGACAAAUUUAAUCCACUUGUUUCCUAUUUAUGGCCGGAGCGAGUUGAACCAGUCACACUUGUAGAUAUUGUGCCUAUCUCUGCUUCCUUGGUGAGAGCCAAGAUAUCAAAUGUCAGGGUGAGGCAAGAGUUACUGUCUAGGUGCAGUAAACUUUCUGGGAGUCAGUUUUCCAACAUUUUCAUCUCUAGUGACCUCACCUACAAUCAGCGGGAAGAGCUGCGGAAAAAACGGGCUUCUGCCCAGGCCAUGAGGAACUCCCAGCCUGUUAGUUCUUCACACAUCUCUAACAAAAGCUUAGCCUCUGUUGUUUUGCCCAGUCAUGAGUCCCCUCAUACUCCUCCCACGUCUCACUUACUUGCGUCCUCUGCCUCUAACCUUGAAGUAUGUUCAAAAGAUGGGAACCCUCAAAAAAACCUCACAUAGAACUUUCUUCUCAGCAAAAUCGGAGUAAUUCUUCUGUAGAUAACCUCUUCAUUACUUUUGUUCUUUUGAAUCUCAACUGUUUAAUCAAUAAAGUUAACUUUUUGGCAGAGUUCAUUUGUAGUCACAGUAUUGGGGUAUGUUGUGUUUGUGAAACUUGGCUAACUUGCAAUGUUUCUGAUCCAGUUAUCAGUAUAUCGGGUUAUAAAUUUUUCCAAAAUGACUCUCCCUUAAAUCUAAGAAUUCACGGUGUUGGGAUUUACAUUCGAGAUGAUAUUAAAGUGGGGAAAACUUUUUCAGAUCAUCCGAAUACGGUUGGGGUAUUUUUGCCUGAUUUUGGCGUUACUAUAUUAGUAGUUUACAGGCCCCCAAGUAAUUCUUUGGAAGAUAAUAUUGCUCUUGUUUCAUACCUGGAAUCUUUCUGUGUUGGUAAAGAAUUAAUACUGGUUGGUGACUUUAAUCUCCCUACUGUUGUCUGGUCCACUGAGGUUCCUUAUUGCACUUCUUCUAUUGAUAUUAGAUUUCUAGAUUUGUUUUCAUCUUUGGGUCUCAUGCAGUGGGUUACGUAAAGUACCUAUGUCCGGUCUAAUAAUAUACUUGACUUGGUCUCUACAUCUGAAGAUAAUAGAAUUUCCCAUGUCGAUAUAAUAGACCCCUUUCCAGGUUGUGACCAUUUUCCAGUUUUGUUUGAGUAUUUAUUUAGUUCUAAUCCAAACAUUAAUAAUGUACAUAACAAUUUUGACUUUUAUAAUGGCAACUACACCUUGUUAAACCAUCAUAUUUUGAAUUUUGAUUGGGAUAAUGAAUUUCUUGGCUUAGAUAUUGAACAAUCAUAUUUAAGAUUUAAAAGUUUAAUGCUUAAUGCCAUUCAGCUAUUUAUUCCAAUUAAGAAGGCAACAGGAAUCAGGAAACCUCCUUGGGCAAAAUCUGUACCUCCUUUAAAACGGCAUAAACGACAAGUAUGGUUGGAGUAUAAGGAUGCUCGGACAAAGUUUGGCAGAUCUUCCCCAAUAGCCUUGAGGUUGUGGCAUUCUUUUAAGACAAUAUCUGUUCAAUAUAAAGAUGCUGUCCAUCAAUCUGUAAUUAAAUAUGAAAGAUCUUUAGUUUCUCCCAAAAAUCCUGAUGUUCAACGUUUUCACUCCUAUCUUCGUAGCAAGAAGGUUCAACGUCCUACUAUUGGACCGCUGUAUGGAGAUAAUGGCUGGUGCGCUGACACAACUGACAUGGCAGAUCUUUUUGUUGAUGCAUUCUCUGGUGUAUUUUCUUCUACUGACUUACUGAAUCCUUAUCCUGUUCAUCAUUGUGACAAUUCAUUUAUAUUUAAUAUAUUUAGUUUUGAUAUUUUUAAAAUUAAGAUUAUCCUUUCUAAGCUGAAAUCUUCUGCUUGUUGUGGCCCUGAUGGUAUACCUUCAGUAUUUUUAAAGAGAUGUGCCCCCUCCAUUAGUUAUCCUUUGCUCUUGUUGUUCAGAAAAUCUUUUAUCAAUGCAAGUCCCAUCUGACUGGAAAGAUGCUAAUGUUAUGCCACUGUUCAAAGGUGGAAUCCAUUCUGAUCCCCUCAACUAUAGACCAAUCAGUUUGACAUCAGUGUGCUGUAAAUCUUUUGAAAGAAUAAUUGUGUCUCAACUUACUUCUUAUUUGGAAGAUAAUAACUUACUUUCAAAGCAUCAAUAUGGUUUUAGAUCGGGUAGAUCAAUUUUCGAGCAACUGUUGUUUACUUAUGACUGUGUGACUCAUUUCUAUGAUGGUGGUAUGUCAGUGGAUGUGAUAUUUUUUGAUUUCAAGAAAGCUUUUGAUGUUGUUAAUCAUAGAUUAUUACUCACAAUGCUAUCUAGUAUUGGGAUUGGGGGGUGUUUGCUAUAGUCUGUUCGGAGCAUGAAGUUGGUUCAAGGUGUGGCAGAUUCCAGAAUUCCCAUGAGUGCAGCGCUGCCAGUUCGACCGCCAAUUAUCAGAUUAGCACUCUCUCCCGGCCUACCUACCCACAACCCAUCUGUUUAUCUCUCUCUCUCUCCCUCUCUCUCCCUCUUGACCCGGGGGAGGGACCUAGGGGGACACACCGACCACCACCACCACCACCACUACCACCACCACAACGUGGCAACAUGGGAAAAAAUCGCUGCCACAUGUCAUAGAAUUUAUACAAAUCCUUGUUAUAAUCCUAAACAUCAACACUCAUUAUACUAUGUAGCUUCCUUUACUAUAUACAGAAUAUAUAAAAUAUCGCUUUCAAAUAGCACAUGGAUGGGAAAUAAGAGAGAGACGCAUGUACAAAGGCUGAUUUGGCAGCAUGGGUAGAGGUAAACGACGAUACCAGCUCCACCCUGAACUGACUUCAUGCUCCGAACAGACUGUAGGAUGGCUGAAAGACUAUUUGAGUGGGAGAAAGAUAACACAGGCUGGGGAAGGAAACGGUGGCUGAGUGGUUAGCGUGCUGGUCCUGCGUUUGCCGCAUCAUGGAUGAUGAAGGUUUGAAUCCGCCGCUGCCACCCGGCGAGUGGCCACAGACUACUUGUCCUGAAGACCACCACCAUCAUCCUGGACUGUAUGGGACUGUCCAAGGGAAAGCAAGAAAGAGGGCAGCAUGAGCCAAGAAUAGAUGGGGCCACUAUAAACACUUGCCGGCUUGGGCCCACCACCAGGCCCAGCCAAGGGAGGUUGGUGUAGCAGUGCCGGGAGGUGCCAUAACACAGGGCACUCCUCACCUUCAACAACAGUCUCUUCACCAACAAGCUUGGAGAAAUAGACGCUACCAAACGAAGAAGAGGAGGAGGAGGAGGACUGGGAAGAAGACGAGGAACACAGGAGGAACCCAUUGAAGAGGAAGAAAAGGAAGAAGAAGAAGAUGAAGAGGAAGAGGAAGAAGAGGAGGAGGGGGAGGAGGAUAAAGACUUGGUGAGUGUUAAAAUCUAUUCUCAUUCCAUGACACCCUUCCUUCCUUCCUUCUUGGCUCUU